rnacentral:rRNA from 1 species
UACGUAGGGGGCAAGCGUUGUCCGGAAUCAUUGGGCGUAAAGCGCGUGUAGGCGGCCUUGUAAGUCCGUUCUGAAAGCCCGGGGCUCAACCCCGGGAGGCGGAUGGAUACUGCAAGGCUCGAGUACGGAAGAGGCGAGUGGAAUUCCUGGUGUAGCGGUGAAAUGCGCAGAUAUCAGGAGGAACACCAAUGGCGAAGGCAGCUCGCUGGAACGGUACUGACGCUGAGGCACGAAAGCGUGGGGAGCAAACAGG